UGGCGGGGGGAGGGGGCCGCCGCAGCCCGCCCCGGCCCGCCGCCCUCGGUCGCCUCGCCGCCCUCCCCUCGUAUCGCCCCCAGCUCUGCCCUCCCGUGAAGCCCCGGCCCUGGGAGUCCCGUCGUUUCUCCCCGCGGCGGCAGGGGCGCUGGCGGGGGGAGCCCGGCGUUUCCAGCCUUGCUGGAGCUCGGCUGCGCCGGUCCCGGGAGGCGUAAAACGUUGUGGCCGUUCUGAGCCAAAGCGGCUUGCUGAGGGAGGAGAGGCCCUGCUUGCCCCAUGCGCCCGGCGAGAGGGCAGCCACCUGCCGCCCUGGGGACCGGGAGCAGUGGCCCAGGAGGUUGUGAUUCUGGAAAACAGAAGGCAGUGCUGGACAACUAUAGCUCUACGUUUAAGUAUUGUGACAGUGAAUUACUGUGCAAGAGAGAACAUUCCGAGUGAGUCUCAAAAUAGAAGGCAGUUAAGUAAUGCAAGUGAUAAUGAGGAGAAACCAUGUGCUGAUCCAGCUGUCCACACAUCAUUAAGGAGUCCUUUCUGGAUCACAGUUUCUUAUUUUGGAGAGGGUUCUUCCACAUCUUCCACUGUCCUUCUGCCUCAGGCUUUGCUUCUAAUCACAGGAUCUCAUGCAAAAACCUGUUGUAUUCCUUAUCCAUGUUCCUUCAGAGGCCACUCUCGGCUCUGCCCUGACAACCCUG
rnacentral:lncRNA from 1 species